CAUGAUGAACUUGACCUCAAAUCAGGUAGGACUACCCGCUGAACUUAAGCAUAUC
rnacentral:rRNA from 1 species